UACGGGGGGGGCAAGCGUUGUUCGGAAUUACUGGGCGUAAAGGGCUCGUAGGUGGCCAACUAAGUCAGACGUGAAAUCCCCAGGCUCAACCUGGGAACUGCGUCUGAUACUGGAUGGCUUGAAUUCGGGAGAGGGAUGCAGAAUUCCAGGUGUAGCGGUGAAAUGCGUAGAUAUCUGGAGGAAUACCGGUGGCGAAGGCGGCAUCCUGGACCGAUAUUGACACUGAGGAGCGAAAGCUAGGGGAGCGAACAGG
rnacentral:rRNA from 1 species